rnacentral:rRNA from 1 species
CUAAGGCUAAAUACUCUCUAGUGACCGAUAGUGAACCAGUACCGUGAGGGAAAGGUGAAAAGCACCCCGGAAGGGGAGUGAAAUAGAACCUGAAACCGUGUGCUUACAAGUAGUCAGAGCCCGUUAAUGGGUGAUGGCGUGCCUUUUGUAGAAUGAACCGGCGAGUUACGAUUUGAUGCAAGGUUAAGCAGUAAAUGUGGAGCCGUAGCGAAAGCGAGUCUGAAUAGGGCGUUUAGUAUUUGGUCGUAGACCCGAAACCAGGUGAUCUACCCUUGGUCAGGUUGAAGUUCAGGUAACACUGAAUGGAGGACCGAACCGACUUACGUUGAAAAGUGAGCGGAUGAACUGAGGGUAGCGGAGAAAUUCCAAUCGAACCUGGAGAUAGCUGGUUCUCUCCGAAAUAGCUUUAGGGCUAGCCUCAAGUGAUGAUUAUUGGAGGUAGAGCACUGUUUGGACGAGGGGCCCCUCUCGGGUUACCGAAUUCAGACAAACUCCGAAUGCCAAUUAAUUUAACUUGGGAGUCAGAACAUGGGUGAUAAGGUCCGUGUUCGAAAGGGAAACAGCCCAGACCACCAGCUAAGGUCCCAAAAUAUAUGUUAAGUGGAAAAGGAUGUGGCGUUGCCCAGACAACUAGGAUGUUGGCUUAGAAGCAGCCAUCAUUUAAAGAGUGCGUAAUAGCUCACUAGUCGAGUGACACUGCGCCGAAAAUGUACCGGGGCUAAACAUAUUACCGAAGCUGUGGAUUGUCCUUUGGACAAUGGUAGGAGAGCGUUCUAAGGGCGUUGAAGCAUGAUCGUAAGGACAUGUGGAGCGCUUAGAAGUGAGAAUGCCGGUGUGAGUAGCGAAAGACGGGUGAGAAUCCCGUCCACCGAUUGACUAAGGUUUCCAGAGGAAGGCUCGUCCGCUCUGGGUUAGUCGGGUCCUAAGCUGAGGCCGACAGGCGUAGGCGAUGGAUAACAGGUUGAUAUUCCUGUACCACCUAUAAUCGUUUUAAUCGAUGGGGGGACGCAGUAGGAUAGGCGAAGCGUGCGAUUGGAUUGCACGUCUAAGCAGUAAGGCUGAGUAUUAGGCAAAUCCGGUACUCGUUAAGGCUGAGC